AUUCAAGGCUACAAUGUCAUCCUCAGCAAUGUCCUCCCAGCUUCUUGUCCUGCUCUGUAUGGUAUUGGUCUCUCUCGCCAUCAUCUUACAGGGCGCAUGUGCUGCAAGAGAUCUCACCCACACUAUGCGUGCUAGCAAUUACGGUGGCGGCUAUGGUGGGUACCAUGGCGGCAUGUCGGACAGCUAUGGUACUGGUUAUUGAUAAUAUUUUUAUCAUUGUUUCAUUCACAAACGUUCAGUUCUAUUACUCUUUUCAAUUCCUCAUUAUAUUCAUACAAAAGAAGGUGAUGAAGAACCUAAUAGUAUAAGGAUUGGCAUGUUCAACUUUGAACAUUAUUACCGUAACCGAUACUUUGUAACAGAUGUGAUGUUUGGAGAGAAAUCCAUGUGCAUGUUGUAAUAUUGGCAAGCAGGUUUCUACGUGCCUGUAAUUGUUGUAAUAAAGAAUUGCUUUUGGUC